rnacentral:lncRNA from 1 species
CUGUUACUCACCUCAAAAACUCAAUAACUGCCAUGCCCACUGAUGAACUGUCCGUGUGCCUGCUAGCUAGAAGGAUGAGUGAUGUCCACUCUGCACGGAGCUGCGACAGUACGUGAUUAUGAUGGGCAGGAGGGAUGACAAGACCCCGGCCAAUUGGCCCAGCGUCAUCCGGGUUUGGCCGUCAUUGUAAAUAACAAUUUGUUCUUAAAACUGCCUAGUUAAAAAAAAAAAAAAAAGUUCCCUUUUGAAUUUCAAAAAUAUUUAUAUAAACCUAACACGGAAGCUAGUAAAACUGUUGCAAUUAUACUUACGUCGCUGUUUACUCCUAGCUUUUUCGCCGGUUGACUGACGUUCGUUGGCUUGCUAGAGAGAGAAAUUCAUCUCGGAUCUAAUUCGCUAGUUUUAGAUUUGGUGCGUAACUACUUCCAGUCUUUGUCGAUCCUGUGCAGACAACCCUUCCAAAUGGCCCUAUGGCUACAUCUACUUGGUUGAAUCUCCAGGUUUACACAGAACAGCGCAAACUGUCUCUAACCGGAAUAGAAAGAGGAGUGGGAGGCCCCGGUGCACA